UGGGGAAUUUUGGACAAUGGGCGCAAGCCUGAUCCAGCCAUGCCGCGUGCGGGAAGAAGGCCUUCGGGUUGUAAACCGCUUUUGUCAGGGAAGAAAAGGUUCUGGCUAAUACCUGGGACUCAUGACGGUACCUGAAGAAUAAGCACCGGCUAACUACGUGCCAGCAGCCGCGGUAAUACGUAGGGUGCAAGCGUUAAUCGGAAUUACUGGGCGUAAAGCGUGCGCAGGCGGUUAUGCAAGACAGAGGUGAAAUCCCCGGGCUCAACCUGGGAACUGCCUUUGUGACUGCAUGGCUAGAGUACGGUAGAGGGGGAUGGAAUUCCGCGUGUAACAGUGAAAUGCGUAGAUAUGCGGAGGAACACCGAUGGCGAAGGCAAUCCCCUGGACCUGUACUGACGCUCAUGCACGAAAGCGUGGGGAGCAAACAGG
rnacentral:rRNA from 1 species